AAAGAAUUAGUUAAAAAAUAACAUAAAUAUGUCAAAUUUAAAUUAUUAUAACUAUAUAAUAUUCUUUA
rnacentral:tRNA from 1 species